rnacentral:lncRNA from 1 species
CGUCAGGAAGAGCCUAAAGAUUAGAUUGUAAGAGAGAAAAUAGAGGCCAGGCGUGGUGGCUCAUGCCUGUAAUUCCAGCACUUUGGGAGGCUAAGACCUGGGUCUGAAACAGCUAGCCAUUUGGUUCUUUAAAGAUCCCUGAAUGAUGUGAGUUACUUGGGCGAGUGGGUCAGGACCCUGUUAUGAGGCAGGUGAUGGAAAAAAUCCAUUCACAAUAUUUUCUCUAGCAACAAGCCAGAUAUGGUGAUCAGGGGACUGUGAAGUUUACCAAAUGGGGGAUGUCAGUCAAAAGAAAACAUGGCAUAGAUUAUCAGUAUUCUGGCCAGGCCUCAGAGAUGUGGCAUAGCAGUAUGUGAAAAAGGGAUCUUGAGUUUAUGUGGAAGGGCAAGUAGACUAUGGUGAAUAUAUGGAUAAAAAUAAUGUGAGGUGGCAAGCAAUGACUAUCAUAGCUGAUAAUAUUAUACUUCUAAGAGACCAGGCAAAAGAGAAGGCGUGGAAUGGAUGAUUCUUCUUUGGCCAUCAUUUGGUACAGCCUCAUUUCCAAAUCAUAUAUAAUCUUUAUAGUUCCCAAUGACAAGAAUUAAAAUACUCUUAUAC